CCUACGGGUGGCAGCAGUGGGGAAUAUUGCACAAUGGGGGAAACCCUGAUGCAGCGACGCCGCGUGAGUGAAGAAGUAUCUCGGUACGUAAAGCUCUAUCAGCAGGGAAGAAAAUGACGAUACCUGACUAAGAAGCCCCGGCUAACUACGUGCCAGCAGCCGCGGUAAUACGUAGGGGGCAAGCGUUAUCCGGAUUUACUGGGGGUAAAGGGGGCGUAGACGGCAGCACAAGUCUGGAGUGAAAUCCCGGGGCUUAACCCCGGUACUGCUUUGGAAACUGUGCGUGUGGAGUGCAGGAGGGGUAAGCGGAAUUCCGAGUGUAGCGGUGAAAUGCGUAGAUAUUAGGAGGAACACCGGUGGCGAAGGCGGCUUACUGGACUGUAACUGACGUUGAGGCGCGAAAGCGUGGGGAGCAAACAGGAUUAGAUACCCUGGUAGUC
rnacentral:rRNA from 1 species